AUUUCUUGAAGGCUGAUCUGGAGACCCAAUUCAAAGUAUGUCGGAAGCCAGUUCAUGAGCACGUAAAGUGCAUAAUGAAAAGUGAAAUUAUUCACAACAAUUGCCCAAACUGGUAAGCUUGUGACAAUUCGUUUCCAUGGGAUUGUUGGAGUUUUGGUGGGAUGAACUCCAUUCUCUGCUUUCAACUUUGAACUCCCUCUGAGCGGCAGCAGGGUUUCCCCAAAGCCCGAUGCAGUUGCUUUUGGAUGCUCAGAACGAGGUGGAUCAGCCGCAUAACUGAACCAGAGUAGAGACCACAUUGCUCCUAAAGCUGCUUCAGCAAGAAAUACAGAUUGUGGACCCCUAUACUUUACCAGACUAGGAAGCAUAAGCAUUCCCAUUGCUGCACCCAAGUACAUUCCGGAAGUUGUAAAGGAAACAGAUCUUGAUCUUUCAUGCGGCGGUACCCACUGUGCAAGGACAGUGUGGAUGGACGGAAAAAUGAAACCUUGGGCCACACCAACGAGCAAACGGGCUAUUACCAGGACAAUUGUUCGGUUCGGGUCAAGUGGUACAAAAGCACAUGUCAAAGACCAUAAGAGAAAAGAAAGGAGGAGGACACGCCGUCCACCAAUCUUUUGAGCUGCCCAACCACCAGGUACUUGUGAGCAUGCAUAUCCAUAGUAAAAGGUCGACAAAAUCACACCUUUGCUACUCUGAUUUACUCCUGCAGCAUCAGCAGCAGUAGUAUACGCAAUAGAGAAGCCCACCCGCUCUAUAUAGCAGACAGAAGUGCAGAU
rnacentral:misc_RNA from 1 species